AUAAAAGGGUCGCAAGACCCAUUUUUUAAAGCCUACUACUGCCUAUCAUUCAUUCGAGUGUGACGGUGGAAGUAGGCCUUUUAAAACCCAUUAUUUAUAAAUUAUAUCGUCUAACAGACGAAAAUAUAAAAUUUUUCA
rnacentral:misc_RNA from 1 species